rnacentral:tRNA from 1 species
GAAUUGAUAGGAUAAACAAAAACUGCUAACUAUUUGUUUCUGUAGUUCGACUCUAUAGCAAACUCA